UCUUACUAGUAUAUAUUUUAAUUACAUUUAGCUUCCAACUAAAAAAUCUAAGGGUAAGAUAA
rnacentral:tRNA from 1 species